GCUGGAACACCCUUCUUCUCCUGCCUUUGGACAUCAGAACUUCAGAUUCUCUGGCCUUCAGACUUUGAGACUUGCACUAGUGGCCCCCUGGGUUCUCAAGGUUUUGGCCGCCUCGGUUGAGAAUUACACCAUCAGCUUCUUUGGUUCUGAGGCCGCUGGAGUUGGACUGAGCCAUGCUAUCGGCUUCCCUGGGUCUCCAGCCUGCAGACUGCCUACUGUGAGAUUUAGCCUCCAUAAUCACGUAGCGGAAUAUUGGCUUGUAGCACUACUCAAAACACAGAAAGCAGAAAUAAAUCAAUUCUUCCUGGAGGACCUCCUGCAUCUCAACACCCAGUGGUUUUGACAGAAUUGAUACAGAAAUAGAAACUUCAAGCAACCUUGCGAUGGAGGCAGAAGAAGGAUUCUAUGAUUGGAAACCUGUCAGACUCACGGGCUACGGAGAAGAGAGGCUAAAUCCACACCAGACUGUUGGAUGCAGCUACAACAAAUUUCCCUCCGUGGCUCCAUUUCUUAUGAAUAUACUCAUAGAAAUGCACAAGAACUGAAAACUCGAUAGGGAAACCAAAAAAUAAAAAUUAAAAAAAAAAAGCUGUAAACCAAUGUUUCUUAAAACAUGCUCUGCAGAACACUGGUUUGGUGGAAUGUAAAGUGUUCUUUCAUAUUAAAGGAGUUGCGUGUUAAUCGUGUUUCUCUGCCGUAGGACUCUCAUUGCAUUAAUAUGUCAAUUUCCAUUGUGAAUUUCUCAGGAGAGAGAGGGACUAUGUGAUAUUCCUCAAAUGCAUGAGGUCAUGGAAGCUAAGAGCAGAAGAGCGUUAGGAUAGCACAACAGCUCCUUGCAUGUAGUGGAAAUCACAAAGUUCAGGGGGACAUUUUACUGGCUGUAUUGUCAGUAGGAUGAAUACUACAUGCUGCAUCUUCUGAACUAUAAUACGGUAUCCCUGAGAAACAAAAUUAGAGGAAAUAUUGAUCACAUCUCACCAUUUCCAGCUAAAACUAAGAUGCAGAGUCUGCAAUGA